rnacentral:rRNA from 1 species
UACGAAGGGGGGCUAGCGUUGCUCGGAAUCACUGGGCGUAAAGCGCACGUAGGCGGAUUGUUAAGUCAGGGGUGAAAUCCUGGAGCUCAACUCCAGAACUGCCUUUGAUACUGGCGAUCUUGAGUCCGGGGAGAGGUGAGUGGAACUGCGAGUGUAGAGGUGAAAUUCGUAGAUAUUCGCAAGAACACCAGUGGCGAAGGCGGCUCACUGGCCCGGGUUACUGACGCUGAGGUGCGAAAGCGUGGGGAGCAAACAGG